GUGGGGAAUAUUGCACAAUGGGGGAAACCCUGAUGCAGCCAUGCCGCGUGUGUGAAGAAGGCUUUCGGGUUGUAAAGCACUUUCAGUGGGGAGGAAAGGGUUAGGGUUAAUACCCCUGAUCUGUGACGUUACCCACAGAAGAAGCACCGGCUAACUCCGUGCCAGCAGCCGCGGUAAUACGGAGGGUGCGAGCGUUAAUCGGAAUUACUGGGCGUAAAGCGCGCGUAGGCGGUUUGUUAAGCUAGCUGUGAAAUCCCCGGGCUUAACCUGGGAACUGCAGUUAGAACUGGCAGACUGGAGUACAGCAGAGGAGUGUGGAAUUUCAGGUGUAGCGGUGAAAUGCGUAGAUAUCUGAAGGAACACCAGUGGCGAAGGCGACACUCUGGGCUGAUACUGACGCUGAGGUGCGAAAGCGUGGGGAGCAAACAGG
rnacentral:rRNA from 1 species